rnacentral:rRNA from 1 species
GUGCCAGCAGCCGCGGUAAUACGGAGUGUGCAAGCGUUACUCGGAAUCACUGGGCAUAAAGAGCACGUAGGCUGGAUUGCGUGUCCGUGGUGAAAUCCCCCAGCUCAACUGGGGAACUGCUUCGGAAACUGCUUUUCUUGAGGACGAGAGGGGAGAGUGGAACUUCUGGUGGAGCGGUGAAAUGCGUAGAUAUCAGAAGGAACACCGGUGGCGAAAGCGACUCUCUGGCUCGUUUCUGACGCUGAGGUGCGAAAGCUUGGGUAGCAAACAGGAUUAGAAACCCCCGUAGUCC